rnacentral:rRNA from 1 species
GUGCCAGCCGCCGCGGUAAUACGAAGGGGGCUAGCGUUGCUCGGAAUCACUGGGCGUAAAGCGCACGUAGGUGGGUCAUUAAGUCAGGGGUGAAAUCCUGGAGCUCAACUCCAGAACUGCCUUUGAUACUGAUGAUCUUCGAGUCCGGGAGAGGUGGGUGGAACUGCGAGUGUAGAGGUGAAAUUCGUAGAUAUUCGCAAGAACACCAGUGGCGAAGGCGGCUCACUGGCCCGGUACUGACACUGAGGUGCGAAAGCGUGGGGAGCAAACAGGAUUAGAAACCCGAGUAGUCC